ACUUAAAUUGAAGAGUUUGAUCAUGGCUCAGAUUGAACGCUGGCGGCAGGCCUAACACAUGCAAGUCGAGCGGUAGCACAGAGAGCUUGCUCUCGGGUGACGAGCGGCGGACGGGUGAGUAAUGUCUGGGAAACUGCCUGAUGGAGGGGGAUAACUACUGGAAACGGUAGCUAAUACCGCAUAACGUCGCAAGACCAAAGUGGGGGACCUUCGGGCCUCAUGCCAUCAGAUGUGCCCAGAUGGGAUUAGCUAGUAGGUGGGGUAACGGCUCACCUAGGCGACGAUCCCUAGCUGGUCUGAGAGGAUGACCAGCCACACUGGAACUGAGACACGGUCCAGACUCCUACGGGAGGCAGCAGUGGGGAAUAUUGCACAAUGGGCGCAAGCCUGAUGCAGCCAUGCCGCGUGUGUGAAGAAGGCCUUCGGGUUGUAAAGCACUUUCAGCGGGGAGGAAGGCGGUGAGGUUAAUAACCUCAUCGAUUGACGUUACCCGCAGAAGAAGCACCGGCUAACUCCGUGCCAGCAGCCGCGGUAAUACGGAGGGUGCAAGCGUUAAUCGGAAUUACUGGGCGUAAAGCGCACGCAGGCGGUCUGUCAAGUCGGAUGUGAAAUCCCCGGGCUCAACCUGGGAACUGCAUUCGAAACUGGCAGGCUAGAGUCUUGUAGAGGGGGGUAGAAUUCCAGGUGUAGCGGUGAAAUGCGUAGAGAUCUGGAGGAAUACCGGUGGCGAAGGCGGCCCCCUGGACAAAGACUGACGCUCAGGUGCGAAAGCGUGGGGAGCAAACAGGAUUAGAUACCCUGGUAGUCCACGCCGUAAACGAUGUCGAUUUGGAGGUUGUGCCCUUGAGGCGUGGCUUCCGGAGCUAACGCGUUAAAUCGACCGCCUGGGGAGUACGGCCGCAAGGUUAAAACUCAAAUGAAUUGACGGGGGCCCGCACAAGCGGUGGAGCAUGUGGUUUAAUUCGAUGCAACGCGAAGAACCUUACCUGGUCUUGACAUCCACAGAACUUAGCAGAGAUGCUUUGGUGCCUUCGGGAACUGUGAGACAGGUGCUGCAUGGCUGUCGUCAGCUCGUGUUGUGAAAUGUUGGGUUAAGUCCCGCAACGAGCGCAACCCUUAUCCUUUGUUGCCAGCGGU
rnacentral:rRNA from 1 species